rnacentral:lncRNA from 1 species
UCGUCGUUUCGUCCAAUCAAAACUCAACGUGGUAGUAGGGGAAAUAGUUUGACGUGUGCCAUAAACAUGAUCGUCUGCAAUCUAGGCCGCCGCUGAUUCGUCGACGAAGAAGGCUCGUCCGUGACUGUGACGUAGGAAUCGUCAUUAGAUAUGACCUUCCUCAUCUCCAGCUGUUUCUUCCUUUAUUUCUGUCUUUCUUCCUUCUUUAUCUUGUACAUUUUUCGACAGGUGAAUACAACGCUUGCGCGCUAAUUCUCUCUCCUCCCUUCCUUCCUUUUCUUACGUGUCAUAUGCUUGCUUAUAUACUUUUUUCUCCUCCGUGCAUCGGAUGUAUCUCAACCGUUUCGAUGAACUCAUUUAUUCGAGUUUGUUGAACUUUAAAUAUAAUACAGCUAGAAAUCAUACGACAUUGAUUUCUUUUACAAUCCUAAACGAUCUUACUGCUAAUGUUUAUUUCUAAUCAUUCAGAAUUAUUUGUUCAAUAUGUAUUCGAAAACAAAAAUUGUUUUUUUUACGUCAUCGUCGUUGUCGUCAUCGUCAUCGUCGUCACUCGAACGUGAACUUUAAACAUGGUUGAUUAAAACGUCUUAUCAAAAUGAUUAUUUAUUGCUAUUUAUUUUUUAGCGUUGAGCGAUAUGUGUCUGUUUAUUCUAAUUAGAAAUGCCUCGACGAUCAAAACUUUAUCGUAAUUUAGAUAAUCUUCCCGAACAAUUAUUGUCUUUUUCCUUUUUUAGUAAUAAUGAUUACACGAAGGUGGAGGAAAAAGUCGGAAUUACGUGCAAUUAUGACGACAUAUAGCGAUAACGUAUGCAGGAAGUACGUGUACAAAGAGUUCUUCUGUCUCUAUGCUCUUUGUCUGUUUGUGCUCUAUGCUGUUGUGUGUGUGAAUGAGAUAGGAAGAGCUAUCAAAUAGAGAUAAAAAAUAAUGUUCUAUUCUAUUAAAAAUCUUGACAUUAGGAAACUAAAUAUAAAUAAUAUUUGCAUGAAGUGAUGAAAUUUGUCCUAUCGUUUCGUCAGCCAUUUCUAAAGCCAUCGAGGUCAUCGUCUUGCGUCGUCUCCGGGCAACUGAAAAUAUGCAGCUGUUACGUGGCCAAUUAUUAUCCACGAACAGGAUACGAGUGAAAGGAACCUUUGAUCUCAUUUUAUCACAUUCUAUCUAAAAUAAAAACAACUUUCUUUGGAAA